rnacentral:rRNA from 1 species
CGCUAGCUACAGGCCUAACACAUGCAAGUCGAGGGCAGCAGAUCGAAAGCUUGCUUUGAUGCUGGCGACCGGCGAAUGGGUGAGUCACGCGUGUCCAACCUGCCCUGUGCCCGGGGAUAGCCCUUGGAAAUGAGGAUUAACACCCGAUACGUGGCGCUUCCGCAUGGCGGCGCCAUGAAACUGACACAGGGAUGGGGGACGCGUCGGAUUAGCUUGACGGCGGGGCGACGGCCCACCGUGGCGACGAUCCGCAGGGGUUCUGAGAGGAAGGUCCCCCACACUGGCACUGAGACACGGGCCAGACUCCUACGGGAGGCAGCAGUGAGGAAUAUUGGUCAAUGGCCGAGAGGCUGAACCAGCCAAGUAAGCGUGCAGGACGACGGCCCUACGGGUUGUAAACUGCUUUUGCGGGAGGAUAAAGGACGCCACGUGUGGUGUUUUGCAGGUAUCCCGUGAAUAAGGACCGGCUAAUUCCGUGCCAGCCGCUGC